UACGUAGGGGGCAAGCGUUGUCCGGAUUCACUGGGCGUAAAGAGCUCGUAGGCGGCUCAGUAAGUCGGGUGUGAAACCUCCAGGCUCAACCUGGAGACGCCACCCGAUACUGCUGUGGCUAGAGUCCGGUAGGGGAGUGGGGAAUACCUGGUGUAGCGGUGAAAUGCGCAGAUAUCAGGUGGAACACCAGCGGCGAAGGCGCCACUCUGGGCCGGUACUGACGCUAAGGAGCGAAAGCGUGGGGAGCAAACAGG
rnacentral:misc_RNA from 1 species